AUUGAACGCUGGCGGCAGGCCUAACACAUGCAAGUCGAACGGCAGCGGGGGAUAGCUUGCUAUCCUGCCGGCGAGUGGCGGACGGGUGAGUAAUGCAUGGGGAGCUGCCCAGUCGAGGGGGAUAACAACUGGAAACGGUUGCUAAUACCGCAUACGCCCUAAGGGGGAAAGGUGGGGAACUUCGGUCCUACCGCGAUUGGAUGCGCCCAUGUGGGAUUAGCUAGUUGGUGAGGUAACGGCUCACCAAGGCGACGAUCUCUAGCUGGUCUGAGAGGAUGACCAGCCACACUGGAACUGAGACACGGUCCAGACUCCUACGGGAGGCAGCAGUGGGGAAUAUUGGACAAUGGGCGCAAGCCUGAUCCAGCCAUGCCGCGUGUGUGAAGAAGGCCUUCGGGUUGUAAAGCACUUUAAGUGGGGAGGAAGGUCAGUAAGUUAAUACCUUGCUGAAUUGACGCUACCCACAGAAUAAGCACCGGCUAACUCUGUGCCAGCAGCCGCGGUAA
rnacentral:rRNA from 1 species